rnacentral:tRNA from 1 species
GGAAGAGUAGCGAAGUGGUCGUAACGCGCUGCACUCGAAAUGCAGUUGCCCGAAAGGGCACGUGGGUUCGAAUCCCACCUCUUCCGCCA